rnacentral:rRNA from 1 species
AACAAAAACAUGUCUUUUUGAAAUUAAUAUAAAGUUUAACCUGCCCAAUGAAGGAUUUAAUGGCCGCAGUAAAUUGACUGUGCAAAGGUAGCAUAAUCAUUAGUUUUUUAAUUAAAAGCUGGAAUGAAUGGUUGGACGAGAUAUAAACUGUCUUAGAUUAAAAAAUAGAAUUUAAUUAUUUAGUAAAAAAGCUAAAAUAAAUAUAAAAGACGAGAAGACCCUAUAGAUCUUUAUAUUAUUUUAAUUAAAAUUAAAAAUGAAUUAAUUAAUAAUUUAAUUAAAAUAUUAUUUUAUUGGGGUAAUAAGAAGAUUAAAUAAAUUCUUUAUAAUAUAAACAUUAAUUAAUGAAUAUAAUAUGAUCCUUUAUUAAGAAAAUAAGAAUAAGUUACCUUAGGGAUAACAGCGUAAUUUUUUUAAAGAGUUCAUAUCGAUAAAAAAGUUUGCGACCUCGAUGUUG